AACGAACGUUGGCGGCGUGGAUCAGGCAUGCAAGUCGAACGAAUCCCACCUGGGUAACUGGGUGGGGGAAGUGGCGAAAGGGGCAGUAAGGCAUGGGUAACCUGCCCCGGACUCCGGGAUAGCCUUCCUAACGGAAGGGUAAUACCGGGUGCCGUAGGCCGGUGGCAUCACCGGGCUACGAAAGCUCAGGCGGUCCGGGAGGGGCUCAUGUGGUAUUAUGCUAGUUGGUGGGGUGACGGCCCACCAAGGCGAAGANGCCUAGCGGGUGUGAGAGCACGACCCGCGCCACUGGCACUGGGACACUGGCCAGACUCCUACGGGAGGCUGCAGUCGAGGAUCUUCGGCAAUGGGCGCAAGCCUGACCGAGCGACGCCGCGUGUGCGAUGAAGGCCUU
rnacentral:rRNA from 1 species